UGCCUUGGUGGUGAAAUGGUAGACACGCGAGACUCAAAAUCUCGUGCUAAAAAGCGUGGAGGUUCGAGUCCUCUUCAAGGCAUAAUAUUGAGAUCUCUUAUUGAAUUGGAAUAAGUUCGGCAGCGGAUCACGAAAUCUUGGUGAUCUUCUCUAUCUAAUGAAUGGGGAGUCCAUUUUGAAAUCGUUCG